UUCUUUCUCAUAACAGGAAAUUCAGUUUCAGCUUCGCAAAGAAACAAUAGAGGGUUGGAAGAAAAAAUAUGAGCCAAGUGAGAAAACAUCUAAGAAGGUAGAAGGGAAUCCUAACGAAGAAUGCGAUAUCAAGGGUGAUUGAAAGUGUGUAAUGUAAAUGGAUGGAUGAUACUAACACCACAUUUAGGGCUGCAGUGAAAAGACACAUUCAGGAGCCAAGAGCCAGUUUCUCCACCCCUGCUCCAAGUUAGAAGUGGGAGACCGUAAUGUGUAUGGAGAAGUUACUCAGGAAAACUGGAUUUCUCUUGGUAUGAAACAGAAAGAGAAGAGGCAGAG
rnacentral:lncRNA from 1 species